rnacentral:rRNA from 1 species
GACGAACGCUGGCGGCGUGCCUAACACAUGUAAGUCGUACGGGACCGGGGGCAACUCCGGUUCAGUGGCAGACGGGUGCGUAACACGUGAAGAACUUGUCCAACGGUGGGGGACAGCCGGCCCAACGGCCGGUUAAUACCGCAUACGAUCGCUCGGGGGCAUCCCUGGGCGAGGAAAGCAGCCGCAAGGUUGCGCCGAUGGAGAGCUUCGCGGCCUAUCAGCUAGUUGGCGGGGUAAUGGCCCACCAAGGCGACGACGGGUAGCUGGUCUGAGAGGAUGGCCAGCCACAUUGGGACUGAGACACGGCCCAGACUCCUACGGGAGGCAGCAGUGGGGAAUCUUGCGCAAUGGCCGCAAGGCUGACGCAGCGACGCCGCGUGUGGGAUGACGG